ACUACUCUCCAACCAUGCUUGGCCACAUAAUUGUGCAGCAUAGGUAAGCAGGACACUUCGUUGAGCAGCAAAACGGGGACAUUUUAAAAGUUAAUGUUUAACAGUUUCUCUUUCAAGACUACAUUCACACAAUGGUGAAUCACAACAGUUAAUUCCAUACAAAUAAUCGUUAAGUGCACAAAAUCCUAAUCUAAGUCUAGUAUGUAAAACAGAAGCCCUUCUCGUCAAUGAGAAGUUAAAUAGCUUAUUAUAUCUUGGCAUACAAAAUACUUUCCGAA